AUACGUAGGGUGCGAGCGUUAAUCGGAAUUACUGGGCGUAAAGCGUGCGCAGGCGGUUUUGUAAGACAGCUGUGAAAUCCCCGGGCUCAACCUGGGAACUGCGGUUGUGACUGCAAGACUUGAGUACGGCAGAGGGGGGUGGAAUUCCUGGUGUAGCAGUGAAAUGCGUAGAUAUCAGGAGGAACACCGAUGGCGAAGGCAGCCCCCUGGGCCUGUACUGACGCUCAUGCACGAAAGCGUGGGGAGC
rnacentral:rRNA from 1 species